rnacentral:miRNA from 1 species
UGUACACCCACUUUGAUAUAUGGAGUAAUAUCUUUUUUAGAUAUUACGAACAAUAUCACAGUGGGUGUACACA